rnacentral:rRNA from 1 species
UGGGGAAUUUUGGACAAUGGGCGCAAGCCUGAUCCAGCCAUGCCGCGUGCGGGAAGAAGGCCUUCGGGUUGUAAACCGCUUUUGUCAGGGAAGAAAUCUUCUGAGUUAAUACCUCGGGAGGAUGACGGUACCUGAAGAAUAAGCACCGGCUAACUACGUGCCAGCAGCCGCGGUAAUACGUAGGGUGCAAGCGUUAAUCGGAAUUACUGGGCGUAAAGCGUGCGCAGGCGGUUUUGUAAGACAGAGGUGAAAUCCCCGGGCUCAACCUGGGAACUGCCUUUGUGACUGCAAGGCUUGAGUGCGGCAGAGGGGGGAUGGAAUUCCGCGUGUAGCAGUGAAAUGCGUAGAUAUGCGGAGGAACACCGAUGGCGAAGGCAAUCCCCUGGGCCUGCACUGACGCUCAUGCACGAAAGCGUGGGGAGCAAAACAGGAUUAGGUACCCUGGGUAGUCCACGCCCUAAACGAUGUCAACUGGUUGUUGGG